UCCCCUGCAAUUUCACUGCUCAAUUCACUGUCAUUUAGGAGUUAAAUCACUUUGUUUCUGUUUAUGCAGCCCUAGCCACACCUCCCCUGGCUAUGAUUGACAGAGCCUGAAUGAAAAAAAAAAAACUGGUUUCACUUUCAAACAGAUGUAAUUUACCUUAAAGGACCACUCUAGGCACCCAGACCACUUCAGCUUAAUGAAGUGGUCUGGGUGCCAGG